rnacentral:pre_miRNA from 1 species
UCUUUGGUUAUCUAGCUGUAUGAGUGCGCCUGGUUUCAUAAAGCUAGAGAACCGAACGUA